rnacentral:antisense_RNA from 1 species
CUCUAUGGGAGGGCCGUGCAGGGAGGGGAAACCCUCGCCGGUCCAAGCGCGGUACGCCAACCUGCACGUGCUCGCCCACCUCG